AGCGAACGCUAGCGGCAGGCCUAAUACAUGCAAGUCGAACGGUGUAGCAAUACACAGUGGCGCACGGGUGCGUAACACGUAUGCAACCUACCUUACAUUGGGGGAUAGCCUUUCGAAAGGGAGAUUAAUACCGCAUAAGACAGUAACUAGGCAUCUAGUAGCUGUUAAAGAUUUAUCGAUGUAAGCUGGGCAUGCGUCCAAUUAGUUAGUUGGUGAGGUAACGGCUCACCAAGACGAUGAUUGGUAGGGGAACUGAGAGGUCAAUCCCCCACACUGGCACUGAGAUACGGGCCAGACUCCUACGGGAGGCAGCAGUAGGGAAUAUUGGGCAAUGGGCGCAAGCCUGACCCAGCCAUGCCGCGUGCAGGAAGAAGGCGUUAUGCGUUGUAAACUGCUUUUAUACAGGAAGAAACGACCCUUGCGAGGGGCAUUGACGGUACUGUAUGAAUAAGCACCGGCUAACUCCGUGCCAGCCGCCGCAGUAAGAC
rnacentral:rRNA from 1 species